AUUGAACGCUGGCGGCAUGCUUUACACAUGCAAGUCGAACGGUAACAGGCCGCAAGGUGCUGACGAGUGGCGAACGGGUGAGUAAUGCAUCGGAACGUGCCCAGUCGUGGGGGAUAACGCAGCGAAAGCUGUGCUAAUACCGCAUACGAUCUAUGGAUGAAAGCGGGGGACCGUAAGGCCUCGCGCGAUUGGAGCGGCCGAUGUCAGAUUAGGUAGUUGGUGGGGUAAAGGCCCACCAAGCCAACGAUCUGUAGCUGGUCUGAGAGGACGACCACCCACACUGGAACUGAGACACGGUCCAGACUCCUACGGGAGGCAGCAGUGGGGAAUUUUGGACAAUGGGCGCAAGCCUGAUCCAGCAAUGCCGCGUGCAGGAAGAAGGCCUUCGGGUUGUAAACUGCUUUUGUACGGAACGAAACGGUCUGGGUUAAUACCUCAGGCUAAUG
rnacentral:rRNA from 1 species